rnacentral:rRNA from 1 species
UACGAAGGGGCUAGCGUUGCUCGGAAUCACUGGGCGUAAAGGGUGCGUAGGCGGGUUUUAAGUCAGAGGUGAAAUCCUGGAGCUCAACUCCAGAACUGCCUUUGAUACUGAAAGUCUUGAGUAUGGGAGAGGUGAGUGGAACUGCGAGUGUAGAGGUGAAAUUCGUAGAUAUUCGCAAAGAACACCAGUGGCGAAGGCGGCUCACUGGCCCAUAACUGACGCUGAGGCACGAAAGCGUGGGGAGCAAACAGGG